GCGGCGAUAGCUCAGUGGGUAAAGCGCCAUGUGAGAAGGUGGCGAUUACUCCGAGAGCUAUUAUCUGCGCGGGUUCGAAUCCCGCCUGUGACA